rnacentral:rRNA from 1 species
GACGUAGGGGGCCAGCGUUGUUCGGAAUUACUGGGUGUAAAGGGUUCGUAGGCGGUGCGGCAAGUCGGGAGUGAAAUCUCUGGGCUUAACCCAGAGGCUGCUUCCGAAACUGCUGUGCUUGAGUGUGGGAGAGGCGCGUGGAAUUGCAGGUGUAGCGGUGAAAUGCGUAGAUAUCUGCAGGAACACCCGUGGCGAGAGCGGCGCGCUGGACCACUACUGACGCUGAGGAACGAAAGCUAGGGGAGCAAACAGG